rnacentral:rRNA from 1 species
GAUGAACGCUGGCGGCGUGCCUAAUACAUGCAAGUCGAGCGAACAGACGAGGAGCUUGCUCCUCUGACGUUAGCGGCCGACGGGUGAGUAACACGUGGAUAACCUACCUAUAAGACUGGGAUAACUUCGGGAAACCGGAGCUAAUACCGGAUAAUAUAUUGAACCCCAUGGUUCAAUAGUGAAAGACGGUUUUGCUGUCACUUAUAGAUGGAUCCGCGCCGCAUUAGCUAGUUGGUAAGGUAACGGCUUACCAAGGCGACGAUGCGUAGCCGACCUGAGAGGGUGAUCGGCCACACUGGAACUGAGACACGGUCCAGACUCCGACGGGAGGCAGCAGUAGGGAAUCUUCCGCAAUGGGCGAAAGCCUGACGGAGCAACGCCGCGUGAGUGAUGAAGGUCUUCGGAUCGUAAAACUCUGUUAUUAGGGAAGAACAAAUGUGUAAGUAACUAUGCACGUCUUGACGGUACCUAAUCAGAAGGCCACGGCUAACUACGUG